rnacentral:rRNA from 1 species
UACGUAGGGACCGAGCGUUGUCCGGAAUCAUUGGGCGUAAAGCGCGCGUAGGUGGCCUCAUAAGUCCGCUGUGAAAGUCAAAGGCUCAACCUUUGAAAGCCGGUGGAUACUGUGAGGCUAGAGUACGGAAGAGGCGAGUGGAAUUCCUGGUGUAGCGGUGGAAUGCGCAGAUAUCAGGAGGAACACCAAUAGCGAAGGCAGCUCGCUGGGACGUUACUGACACUGAGGCGCGAAAGCGUGGGGAGCGAACAGG